UAUGUUAUCCCACGCCGUCCUUGUGGGAUACUUUUCCAUACUUUACCUUUGCACGCAAGACGCACCAAAUUGGAGUGGAUGACUGGAUGAGGACCCAAACCCCAUUAUCAGCACUGAAGGUGCUUUGUUUCUGUUGCUUCAAACUUCAGUUCAGACUUCAGAGUGGUGCUCUGCAGCUUUGUUUUUGGUCGGAAAUUGCUUCAGAAGGUUCAUUGAUGAACCUUAAAUCUCUUGAUCUUUCACAUCAAAUUGCCUCUUCUUCACUUUUGAGCAACCAUCUGCUGAACCGAUCAUCGGUCAUCGCUCAGGCGUUUGUGAGGUUUGCAUUCAUUAAUGCAGCUCCUGAAAGUGCUCUCAUCUUAGAUCUUCCUGGUUUUAGCGGCACUUUUCCUUCCAAGCACUAUUCUGGGUAUAUAACAAUUGAUGAGAGUCAUGGCAAAAAUCUGUUCUACUACUUUGUCGUUUCGGAAAGGAAUCCAUCUGAGGACCCUGUUGUUUUGUGGCUUAAUGGUGGACCGGGUUGCUCUAGCUUUGAUGGAUUUAUUUAUGAACACGGGCCAUUCAAUUUUGAAGCAGGAAGUACUCCUAGAAGUCUUCCAAAACUCCAUCUCAAUCCAUACAGCUGGUCAAAGGUUUCCAAUAUUAUAUAUUUGGAAUCUCCUGCCGGCGUUGGAUUCUCUUACUCAAAGAAUGAGUCUGACUACAAAACAGGAGACCUAAAGACUGCAUCUGAUACACACACAUUUCUCCUCAAGUGGUUUGGACAAUACCCAGAAUUCCUCUCUAACCCAUUUUUUAUUGCUGGUGAAUCAUAUGCUGGAGUUUAUGUGCCAACUCUUGCUUCUGAAGUUGUGAAGGGAAUUAACAGUGGAUCAGAGCCCAUUCUCAACUUCAAGGGUUACAUGGUGGGAAAUGGGGUUUGCGAUAGUGAAUUUGAUGGAAAUGCUCUUGUACCAUUUGCACAUGGGAUGGGCCUAAUCUCAGAUGAUUUGUAUAAGGAAGCAACAGAUGCCUGUCAAGGAAACUACUGGGAUCAGGUUAAUGCAAGCUGUGAAGACAAGCUUGAUGAAAUUGACAAGGAUAUUGGUGAUUUAAACAUCUACGACAUCCUUGAGCCCUGCUAUCACAGCCCAGAGACAACAGAUAAUGCAGCUGGUAACAUCAGGUUACCAUCUAGCUUCAGGAAAUUAGGUGAGACUGAGAGACCUCUUGCUGUGAGGAAAAGGAUGUUUGGUCGUGCUUGGCCACUUAGAGCUCCUGUGAGAGAUGGUUAUGUUCCAACAUGGCCGCAACUCAUGAACAGUGGAAGUGUUCCAUGCACUGAUGAUGAAGUUGCAACUUCAUGGCUAAACAAUGAAGAAGUCAGGAAAGCAAUUCAUGCUGAAGAGGUGUUGGUAGUUACUUGGGAGUUAUGUACAUAUAAGAUCAACUACUAUCAUGAUGCUGGAAGCAUGAUCAAGUAUCACAGAAACCUCACUUCCCAGGGAUAUCGGGCUCUUAUAUUCAGUGGUGACCAUGACAUGUGUGUGCCAUUCACUGGGACUGAAGCGUGGACUAGAUCACUUGGAUAUAAGAUCAUAGAUGAAUGGAGACCUUGGACUUGUAAUGAGCAAAUUGCUGGGUACAUUCAAGGCUAUGAUAAAAACAUCACCUUCCUCACGAUAAAGGGAGCUGGACAUACUGUCCCUGAGUACAAGCCACAAGAAGCACUAGCCUUUUAUAGCCGUUGGUUGGAAGGAAAAACAAUAUGAAAUAAAUUUUUGAAAGAAAAUAAAUUAUGUCAGUAAGCGAGAGCGGGAAUGCAGUGAUAUCGGGAUCUUCACUAUCAUCAUGAGCGCACAGAGACUUCACUAAUCUGUAACAAUCAGAUUCAAAAAGGAUAUUUGCCGCACCAAGUUGGUAUGCAAAAUUAACAGCUUCCAAUAAAGCUUUAGCCUCUGCAGCUGAAGGUGGUGAAGCUUUCGUCGACCCAAAACCUGCAUCCCAACAAAGGCCCAUGUGGUCUCGCAUAAUAAAACCAAAAGAAGCCUGUCUACCUAACAAAAAACCACCCUCAACAUUAAUCUUCAGCAUCCCCUGAUCCGGUGGCAUCUAAGACAGCGUUACUCUUCAGAUUAGCUUUGGAAGAGCCUUCCAAUUUCUGCUGUCAGUGAAGAGAUCUUUCCGUUAUUAACCUGUGAAUAGAAGAAAUAACAACCAAAGGGCUUAUAUCUUC